GGGGCUGUAGCUCAGUUUGGGAGAGCGCCUGAAUGGCAUUCAGGAGGUCGGCGGUUCGAUCCCGCUCAGCUCCACCA
rnacentral:tRNA from 2 species